rnacentral:rRNA from 1 species
UGGCGGCGAGAGCGCGGUGGUCCCACCUGACCCCAUGCCGAACUCAGAAGUGAAACGCCGUAGCGCCGAUGGUAGUGUGGGGUCUCCCCAUGCGAGAGUAGGGAACUGCCAGACA